rnacentral:ncRNA from 2 species
UCCAGUCAGACGGCGGAAGGUUCCGGGGUAAUACCGGGAUUAAUAGGGAACCGGGUGCGAAUCCCGGACAGACGCGCUACUGUAAGUCCCGCGCAGUUUUCUCCACCUGAAGUCCAUUGGCCGGCGCCCAUGCCGGCUGAGAAGGACGGGGAAAACGGGACAAGUCAGGAGACCUGCCUUCCGCUGCAUUGAUGA